rnacentral:rRNA from 1 species
CAGUAGCCGCGGGAAUACGAAGGGGGCUAGCGUUGCUCGGAAUCACUGGGCGUAAAGGGCGCGUAGGCGGACUCUUAAGUCGGGGGUGAAAGCCCAGGGCUCAACCCUGGAAUUGCCUUCGAUACUGGGAGUCUUGAGUUCGGAAGAGGUUGGUGGAACUGCGAGUGUAGAGGUGAAAUUCGUAGAUAUUGGAUGGAACACCGGUGGCGAAAGCGGCUCUCUGGCCCGGGUCUGACGCUGAGGCGCGAAAGCGUGGGGAGCAAACAGGAUUAGAUACCCGCGUAGUCCCUGUCUCUUAUAC